rnacentral:rRNA from 1 species
CCUACAUGAAGCUGGAGUUGCUAGUAAUCGCGAAUCAGAAUGUCGCGGUGAAUACGUUCCCGGGUCUUGUACACACCGCCCGUCACACCACGAGAGUUUACAACACCCGAAGUCAGUGGCCUAACCGCAAGGAGGGAGCUGCCUAAGGUGGGGUAGAUGAUUGGGGUGAAGUCGUAACAAGGUAAC